rnacentral:lncRNA from 1 species
AUCAGGAAAGGAGCCCCUGAGGGCAGGGACUCUGCCUGGGCCAACAGCUGACAGAUUUUAGGAGAGGUUGAAUGAAUUCCAGUUCAGAGAAUAUCCUUCUGUCUUUAAGGCAUUAGCAUUAAGAGAGCUAAAGGCUUAUGUAAAGUCCUUAAGGGACGAUAAACAGCGUCCACCCUGGGGCUGCAAGACCUAGAGGUGCCUGGGGUCCGCAGAGGGAACUUAAGAUCUGAAGAAUUUUUCCAAGGCUCCAUCUUCGUUCUUCUCUGAGAUUUAAGCUUCAUAUUUCUCAGUUGCCAGCCUCCCCAGGCUAUCUCCCCUUCCCCCACAGUGCUCCUUUCCUGGGUGGUCUCUGUCCGUCCCAAGCUCCUUCUCUGUCUCCUUACGUCUACUCAAAGGAAGAGCCACUCGGAUGGCCGAGUCAAGCUGCAGCCCAAGUCCUUCCUGUUCCGAUGAAGAGCACCAGCUUGGCCCUAUGCAGAGUCUCUGAGAUUUGCUGGAAAUGACCGGACUUGAUCAACUCCACUCCACACACUGGCCACUGUCAUGGUCCUUCCACAGUCCUGGGUCCUCUCAUCCCCUGGGAUCUUCACGGCAACUGAGGCUUCACUGACAGCAAUGGCCGCCUGGCUGACCUGCAGAGACUCCACUCCUGCUGUACGGUGUCGAGCGCCUGAACUGCUCUCCGUGACUCCUUUGGUCCUGCGGGUCCCACUGUAACCGAUGGUACAUCUUCACCUAUGGCUUCCUGGCCUCUCUGCCAACCGUGCCAAGCCUGACUGCUCGUCAUGACAUCCUCAUGUCUUCAAAAACAGCACAUGUGGAAGACUGU